ensembl:snoRNA LOC120095392 small nucleolar RNA SNORA70
UGUCAGCCUUGUGUGUCCUGGCUACAAAUAACAGCCUCCUUUGGGGCUGUUCACAGCCUGUUCCCUACAUGGGUUACCCCAAGAGGCCUUAGAGACAAUU